CCUCCUUAUACGAUUUAGAACUUAUUUGUUCGUAGUGUCCACACAGAUGAUUGUUAAUUGUAAAGAGAACAACACUUAUUGUUUGGGUCUGUAGCUCAGUUGGUUAGAGCGCACCCCUGAUAAGGGUGAGGUCGGUGGUUCAAAUCCACCCAGACCCACCACUUCUUCUUAAUCUUAUCAAUAAGAUUAAAACGAAGUCGGAUAACAAACAAUAAGACCAGCAUAUGUGGGGCUAUAGCUCAGCUGGGUGAGCGCCUGCCUUGCACGCAGGAGGUCAGCAGUUCGAUCCUGCUUAAGUCCACCACUUUACUUCUUUAAAAAUAAUUUUUCUUUUAUCGGGGAGCAACAUCGCCUGAGAAAAGAU
rnacentral:tRNA from 1 species